UACGAAGGGGGCUAGCGUUGCUCGGAAUCACUGGGCGUAAAGGGUGCGUAGGCGGGUCUUUUAAGUCAGGGGUGAAAUCCCAGAGCUCAACUCUGGAACUGCCUUUGAUACUGGGUGUCUAGAGUAUGGAAGAGGUGAGUGGAAUUCCGAGUGUAGAGGUGAAAUUCGUAGAUAUUCGGAGGAACACCAGUGGCGAAGGGCGGCUCACUGGUCCAUUACUGACGCUGAGGUGCGAAAGCGUGGGGAGCAAACAGG
rnacentral:rRNA from 1 species